CUACGGGUUGCUGCAGUGGGGAAUAUUGGACAAUGGGGGAAACCCUGAUCCAGCAAUGCCGCGUGUGUGAAGAAGGCCUGCGGGUUGUAAAGCACUUUCGGUUGGGAGGACUGCUUCUAGCACUAAUAUUGUUGGAAGUUGACGUUACCUUCAGAAGAAGCACCGGCUAACUCCGUGCCAGCAGCCGCGGUAAUACGGAGGGUGCACGCGUUAAUCGGAAUUACUGGGCGUAAAGCGCGCGUAGGCGGCUAGAUCAGUCGGGUGUGAAAGCCCCGGGCUUAACCUGGGAACUGCAUCCGAUACUGUCUAGCUUGAGUACAGGAGAGGAGAGUGGAAUUCCACAUGUAGCGGUGAAAUGCGUAGAUAUGUGGAGGAACACCAAUGGCGAAGGCAGCUCUCUGGCCUGAUACUGACGCUGAGGUGCGAAAGCGUGGAGAGCAAACAGGAUUAGAUACCCUCGUAGUC
rnacentral:rRNA from 1 species